GGUAAAAUGGCUGAAUCAGGUGAAGGGUUGUAACCCCUUUUAUAAAGGUUUUAAUCCUUUUUUUACCA
rnacentral:tRNA from 1 species